AGCUCCACGAGCAUGUACGUAAGUUGUUGCCGUUAAAAAGCUCGUAGUUGGAUCUCAGGCCUGCGACCAAUGGUCCAUCCGAUACGGAUGUGUACUGUUGUGUCCGGUCUUCAUCUGGUGUCAAGUGCGUAAUGUUCUUCACUGGACGUUGCGUACUGCCAGAAAUGUUACUCUGAGAAAAUUAGAGUGCUCAAAGCAAGCCGUUGUGCUUGAAUACUGUUGCAUGGAAUAAUGGAAUAGGACCUCGGUUCUAUUUUGUUGGUUUUCGGAGUCGAGGUAAUGAUUAAGAGGGACAAACGGGGGCAUUCGUAUUGCGCCGUUAGAGGUGAAAUUCUUGGAUCGGCGCAAGACGAACGACUGCGAAAGCAUUUGCCAAGGAUGUUUUCA
rnacentral:rRNA from 1 species